AGGGAUCAUUACACAAAUAUGAAGGCGGGCUGGAACCUCUCGGGGUUACAGCCUUGCUGAAUUAUUCACCCUUGUCUUUUGCGUACUUCUUGUUUCCUUGGUGGGUUCGCCCACCACUAGGACAAACAUAAACCUUUUGUAAUUGCAAUCAGCGUCAGUAACAAAUUAAUAAUUACAACUUUCAACAACGGAUCUCUUGGUUCUG
rnacentral:misc_RNA from 1 species